rnacentral:SRP_RNA from 1 species
GCCGGGCAUGGUGGCGCAUGCCUGUAGUCCCAGCUACUUGGGAGGCUGAGGCAGGAGGAUCGCUUGAGCCCAGGAGUUUGAGGUUGCUGUGAGCUAGGCUGACUCCAUGGCAGUGUAGUCCGGGCAACAGAGUGAGACUCUUUCUCAAAAAAAAAAAGCAACUAUGAGCCCAGGAGUUUGAGGUUGCUGUGAGCUAGGCUGACGCCACAGCACUCACUCUAGCCUGGGCAACAAAGCGAGACUCUGUCUCA